GAGUUUGAUCCUGGCUCAGGAUGAACGCUAGCGGCAGGCUUAAUACAUGCAAGUCGAGGGGCAGCGGGGACUUCGGUCCGCCGGCGACCGGCAAACGGGUGAGGAACAUGUACGCAACCUACCUUUGACAGGAGGAUAGCCCUUCGAAAGAAGGAUUAAUACUCCGUAACAUAAUAAUAUGGCAUCAUAUAAUUAUCAAAGCUUCGGCGGUCAAAGAUGGGCGUGCACCUGAUUAGGUAGUUGGUAAGGUAAAGGCUUACCAAGCCAACGAUCAGUAACUGGUGUGAGAGCACGACCAGUCACAUGGGCACUGAGACACGGGUCCAACUCCUACGGGAGGCAGCAGUAAGGAAUAUUGGUCAAUGGACGAGAGUCUGAACCAGCCAUGCCGCGUGAGGGAUGAAUGCCUUCUGGGUUGUAAACCUCUUUUGCGUGGGAAGAAAUGUGUUUUAUCUAAGACACUUGACGGUACCACGAGAAUAAGCACCGGCUAACUCCGUGCCAGCAGCCGCGGUAAUACGGAGGAUCCAAGCGUUAUCCGGAAUUAUUGGGUUUAAAGGGUCCGUAGGCGGGCAAUUAAGUCAGUGGUGAAAUCUUUCGGCUCAACCGGAAGCUUGCCGUUGAAACUGGUAGUCUAGAGUCAUUGUGCAGUGGUUGGAACGUGCAGUGUAGUGGUGAAAUACAUAGAUAUUGCGCAACAACACCGAUUGUGAAGACAGAUCACUAACAAUGUAUUGACGCUGAGGGAAGAAAGCGUGGGGAGCAAACAGGAUUAGAUACCCUGGUAGUCCACGCCGUAAACGAUGGUCACUAGCUGCUUGGUCUAAUUGAGGGCUGAGUGGUUGAGCGAAAGUAUUAAGUGACCCACCUGGGGAGUACGUUCGCAAGAAUGAAACUCAAAGGAAUUGACGGGGGCCCGCACAAGCGGUGGAGCAUGUGGUUUAAUUCGAUGAUACGCGAGGAACCUUACCAGGGCUUAAAUGUAGAUUGACAGUUUAGGAAACUAGACCUUCUUCGGACAAUUUACAAGGUGCUGCAUGGUUGUCGUCAGCUCGUGCCGUGAGGUGUCAGGUUAAGUCCUAUAACGAGCGCAACCCUUUUCGUUAGUUACCAGCGAGUAAUGUCGGGGACUCUAGCGAUACUGCCGGUGCAAACCGUGAGGAAGGUGGGGAUGACGUCAAAUCAUCACGGCCCUUACGUCCUGGGCUACACACGUGCUACAAUGGAUGGGACAGAGAGCAGCCACUGGGCGACCAGGAGCGAAUCUACAAACCCAUUCUCAGUUCGGAUCGAAGUCUGCAACCCGACUUCGUGAAGCUGGAAUCGCUAGUAAUCGCAGAUCAGCCAUGCUGCGGUGAAUACGUUCCCGGGCCUUGUACACACCGCCCGUCAAGCCAUGGAAGCCGGGGGUGCCUGAAGUUCGUUUCCGCAAGGAGCGACCUAGGGCAAAACUGGUAACUGGGGCUAAGUCGUAACAAGGUA
rnacentral:rRNA from 1 species